AUGUUUGUGUCUUAUAGAUGUAUGUGGUGCAUUUUGUUUAUAUGUGGAGUAUUUUGAAACAAAAAGAAAAGGGAAAAGAAAAGAAAAUCGGCGGGACCCACCACCCACUCAAACAUAUGGUUUAGAGACUUUUUUUUUAUGCUCAUUCUCUCUCCCCGCUGAAUCCUUUCUCUCGGCCAGUGCUCUAUCUCUCUGCCUUUUUCUUUUUCUUUUUCCUUUGCAACUUGAAUCUUUGAUUAAUUCAUCAUCUCUUGGUAGAUUUGGGUGCCGUUUGAGGCAAAACGAAGCUUAUGUCGAGCUCUACGCAUCCAUACCAACAAUUCCAGAUUUGGUGCACCCUUUGAACUUCGAAAUUUAGGACCCAUUUCUAGGGUUUUGCCUAUUUUGAGGUCUUGGAAAAGAACCGGUGAACGACAACCCACCUCAAGCUUGAGCGAUACUAGAAGCUCACUUUUGUGUCUUUUGUAUAUUUCCCAUUAUUUUUGCAAAGCACUAAAAGUAUAAAGGUAUAUAUAUAUAUUUUGCAAAACUUUGUCAUGUAACCUUGUUGAUGAAUGGGAAGGAUAAUUUUAGUUAAAGUAAUUAUCGGUGUUAUUUGAUUGU